CAUAGAGGUGAGAGCAGACCCAAAACUCGCUUCCUCUUCUUCUCUUUCUUCUGCAUUCAGGUACAAACUUCUUCAUUCAGAUGCACAAACCCUAAUUUUCAGCUCCGAUCCAAUUAUGGCUGCCAAUUUCUGAUUCCACUUCAGGACAGACUUUGAAGCAUUCAUGCCAUUCUUUUCCCUCUCAACCACCAUUUUUAUUUAAUCCUUCGCCAUUUCUCUGUUUUUGGUAUCUAAUUCUAAUGCGAGCACUGCUUCUUCUACAACAAGCUGGAAGUUCGGUUCGCCUCCGUAGACUCUGUCGUCGUCUGUGACGGCACUAGGGUACCACCGUAGCAGCGACGCAGCCAUUGUGAUGGUUCAAGAUCGGUCUGAAAACGUGAGCUAGGAGGCGAUUGUAGUCGAAAUCGUCGACGAUUCAUUUCCUUCUCAAAGGUCUUUUCUAAGUUGGAGGAGUAGAGAUUUCCUUGUGAGAUUGAGUUGAGAGAUCUUAUUGGAAGUAUUGUGAGUUGAGUCAGCAUUAAACAAUAUUAUCAUCUCAUUUUGUAAUUGCUAAGAUGCAGGAAUUUCAUACAACAAUAUGGUGAGUCAAAAUCUUCCAAGACACAAGAUAAGUGUUUGUUUGAGUAGGUUCUGCUUGGUAGAGACUCUCAUAGCUGUACAGCUGGUGCAUUUGGUCAAUUUGCUACUGGAAUUAGUAACACUGAUGCAAGAUUUGUACUAGGCACUAGGAAAUCACUGCUCAAGGUUCUGCUUGGUACAGACUCUCAUACUUGUACAGCUGGUGCAUUUGGUCAAUUUGAUAGUGGAAUUGGUAACACUGAUGCAUGAUUUGUACUAGGCACUGGGAAAUCACUGCUCAAGUGAGCACACACAAGCAUUACAACAUGUUGAUGCCAGAAAUGCACAGAGAAAGCACGAUAAAGAGUUUAUAGAAUGGUUUGAAAGUCAUGUAAGUAAAAAAAAUACAUAGUAGUUAUGAUCUAUUUGUUUGUAUUUAUCUACUUAUAAUUAAACAUGAUACUAUUGUCUAUGUAGGUUACUAAGCUAUAUAAUAAAGGAAGCAAUGAAGUUGACAAACAACUAUUAGAUUUAGCUCGAGGUCCAUCACAAGAAGUAAUGUACUACAAGGGAUAUAUUGUUAAUGGUUUUAGGUUUUGUAUAAAGGAUGCUGAUGAUUUAAGAAAAACACAAAAUAGCGGGGUAGUAGUGAGAGGAACUGACAAUCGAGAGUACUUUGGUGUUUUGCAUGAAAUUAUUGAAUUGCAGCGUAUGGGAGGAAAUAAUGUUAUUUUGUUUAAAUGUAAAUGGUGGGAUAUCAAUAGUCGUGGUAAAGGAAUUAAAGUUGAUGAUCAUGGAUUAACUAGUGUGAAUAUGACCUACACAUUUGCUGCAAAUGAGCAAUUUGUAUUGGCAUGUCAAUCUGAACAAGUUGUUUAUCUUGAAGAUAGAAGAAAUCCAACUUGGUAUUUUGUGUUGAAGGUUGAUCCAAGAGAUUAUUACAAGAUUUCUGUAAUCAAAGAUGUAGAUUGUCAAGGAAUUUAAUAUUGAUAAUUGUUUGAAGAUGGUGACUUCUUCUGGAUUACUUCUUGUUAUUUGGUAUUAUGAAUCUUGUAUUAAUGGUUUUCCUAAGCGACUGCCCAAUUAUGUGACUUUAUUAAUAUGUUAAGAAGUUUAUUUGAAUUGAAUAUUAUGUACUGCUUAUUUGUUACAAGUUUUGAAUCGUAGAAUUAUCUAUAUUUGAAAAGUUAUAAUUUGCAGGUUGAAAGUGUAAUUCUACUAUUAAGUGCGAUAUAUGAUAGGGAAAAAGAUGAAAAACUUUUCAUCUCAUAGAGCAAAGAUCAAAUUCCAAGAUAGAAAUAGUAUAAAUAGUCAUGAGAAUAGUAUUGUAGGGGCGACUACAUCUACAUCUUCAACAAAAUCUAAAACACAAGUUGGUCUAGAAGCUUCAUCAUCUUUUACAGGAGAAAUUGGAUCAACUACUAGUUAUGAAAGGACAGUUAAUGGAGGUAAUAUUUUUUUUAGUUUAAUUUUAUUUGGUUUGUUUCUAACUCACCCUUUCUUUUUUCUUUUUAUUUUAGAAUCUUCUUUUGUAGGGCCAAGAAAACUGCGUGGUCCCACACGCAAUCUUAAACUAGUUAGAUUACCUCACGGGAUUAGAUUUGAAGUAUCAUGGAGGAACAAAAGACCUGUUCGAGAUAAUGCUGAUAUUUUCAAAAGCCAAUGCACUAUUUUGGCUCGACAAGUCAACUUUACACCUCUACAAGUGAAAAGUUGGAGAGAUAUUGACAUGACAACAAAAAGAAAACUAUUUGAGCUUACAUUAGUAUGUGAUACUUAGUUAUUUUAUUUACUUAUCACUUGCUUUAAUUGCCAUUGUUUUUUGCCAUGUAGGAGCGAUUUAAAGUCGAAGGCCAUGAGGCUUAUGUUUUACGUCAACUUAAUCGAUCUUAUAAUAAUUGGAGAGAUAGCUUGAAGAAAAAAUGGUUGUACAAAUAUGAUACAAUUGCAGAAGCUUUAGCUAAUAUUCCACCAGAAAUUACAAGAGAAGAUGCAGAAUAUCUUGCAAACUUGUGGAAGUCAACUGAAUAUCAGGCUAUAUUCUAAAACUUGUGUUCUUGAGAUGUGUGAAAGGAACAA